rnacentral:misc_RNA from 1 species
GAUGAAGAACGCAGCGAAAUGCGAUACUUGGUGUGAAUUGCAGAAUCCCGUGAACCAUCGAGUCUUUGAACGCAAGUUGCGCCCGAAGCCAUCAGGUUGAGGGCACGUCUGCCUGGGCGUCACAUAUCGUUGCCCAAUGCCUAUUGCAGUGCAAUAGGAAUUUCUAGGGCGAAUGAUGGCUUCCCGUGAGCGUUGUUGCCUCGCGGUUGGUUGAAAAUCGAGUCCUUGGUAGGGUGUGCCAUGGUAGAUGGUGGUCGAGUUAGAACGAUACCGAUCAUGUGCAUGCUCCCCACAAUAUGGCCUCUAUGACCCACACGCGUCUUUUGACGCUCAUGACGAGACCUCAGGUCAGGCGGGGCUACCCGCUGAAUUUAAGCAUAUCAAUAAGCGGAGGA